UAUAUAUAUAUAUAUAUAUAUAUAUAUAUAUAUAUAUAUAUAUAUAUAUAUAUAUAUAUAUAUAUAUAUAUAUAUAUAUAUCGUGUAUAGUUUAUUUAUUUAAAUACCUAUAUAAUCUAUGUGUAGAAACAGACAGAAAUAAAUUUAUAUAGAUUAUAGAGCUAUAAAUUAAUUAUUUUAAUUUAAUAAACAUGAUAUUUUCUACUAGGCUACUUGUAUUUUCUCUGUCUUUCUUUUAACUCCCAUCCAAGGACCCUCUUCUUGUUUUCAUAAUUUGGAUGUUCGUUUUGUGACACCUUAACAUCCCCUCCCUCCCAUAGAUGCUUAUAAUUCUUUUCAUGACUCUCUCCCCCUUCCCUCCACUGCCUGUUGGAUAGUUUGUGACACUACUCGCUGAGUGUAUACCUCUCCUUACCGCCAGCUUAUCUUGCGUGAUCACAUGCAGUGGGCAUGGUCUCUGGCUUCAAAUUAGCAGCCCACACUUUUUCUUUCAUUCAUAAGUUAUAUAUUCUAGAUAUCUCUAUCUAGGUCAUGUUUAUUCAUUGAAAAAAUCAUAGAUUUAUUAAUCCCAAUAAUAUUUCUUAAUACGAUUUUGCUGUGUUCAAAAAGGAGAAUGAGCUGAAUUCAUUAUUAUUUGUUUGGACACCCCCUUUUUUAAUUUUAUUUAACAGCUAACGGUAUAAAUGUGAUUGGAAUGUCUUUCUAAAGAUGUUUGGAAGCUUAUUUUGAUAUGCCCAUCAGCCUACGAUCAAACAGGCUCAUGAUAUAGCCUUCAUCCCUUAUAUGGGUAUGAAUUGCCGGGGGAGGUUAAAACAACAGCUUAACAUACAUGGUUACCGAGAAUCUAAAUAACUGCCAUCUGCUUUGGAAAAACGGAACAAAAUUACCAGAACUUAUCUAAAAUUGGACAUGCUCAGUUCCGAAUCGUCGAUUUUAGCUCCAAACAUAAAAACAAAUGAAUUACAAACAAAAAAAAGCGACCCGUUUAGAAAGGAGAAUCCGAUGGGGUGUUCAAACUAUAAGAGCCUCCUCUAGGUCUGGGGACUAAAUUGAUAUGUGUGUGCAAUCUACAGCUAAUGAGUGUAUGAAGAUAGUAUUAGAACUUGGUAAAGGACAAAAUUUUUCAUAGAAUUACAAUGUAAGCAACUUAUAAUUUAUAAAAAGUAAAUGUGUUUUAACAAUUACUUUCAAAUGUUUUUUCAAUAAGAGCUCUUUUUUUCUUUUGUUUUACACAAAAUUUCCACCAAAAUCUGGCCAAAUGUUGAGUUACAUAAAUUUAAAUUCAAUAUCAUUUUUUUUUUCAUUAACUAAAAAUUAUAAGAAAUUACUUUCAAAAGUUAUAAAUAUGUUGUUUUUUUUUCCAACCACAGUAUCAUUUUGCGAGCUAUCAAUAGAUCCAUGAUUACCAGCAAGCUGUGUUCAUGUAGAUGUCACGAGAUGAGCAAGCACAAAAUUUGUUCUACAGAUUUUAUGUUUUAUCAUUUUGCUUUUAUUUUCCUAGGAAUGAUUGCGAAAAAAAAAAAGAAUAUUAGGUCCUAAACAAUAUAAUGGUCAUAUAAUGAUAAAUAAUCAAAUCAUUUUAUCUUCAUAAAUUUCAUACAUUUUUUUACAUAUUAUAUGUCUAAAGCUGUUUUUGAUGUUAUUUGAACCUGUAUAAUAGGUUCAACUGGUGCACAUUUUCUACUCUAUUCAAGAGUUAAAAUAAGAUUUUGUGACCCAGAGCUUGUUACAUUAGAGAUAACAAUGGUUUUGAAGGCUCAGUAAGGCACACUGGUAACAAGAAAUUUUUAAAAGUUCUUAUAAGUAGUAUGUCAACAUGUCAAGAAAAAACAAUAUAAUGCAUAUCCUCUGAAACCAUCCAAAAAAUAUGAAUGCACAGAUCCUCCAAAAUUUAUGACAAAAUAAUAUUUGUACAGGUACCCUAUUUAAUAAUUAUUUGAUCUAGCCUAACUAAAUAUCAAAACAGGUUCAUCAUACCUUUCUUUCUAUGCUUAAAACAAAAAAGUUGGAAAUAAAAAAUCUGUAUUUUUCUGUGUUUAUGGUCAGUCCCAGGUUUUAUUAAACUUUACAAUAUUCCCUACCACGUUGGCCUCCAAGGCCUGAUUUUACUUAAAUCAUUAUUUACAUAAUUUAAAACAACUCCUGUACACUUAAUGCAAAUUUUCACAUAAAAAGAUGAAAUCAACCUAUAAGAUAAAAUAUAGUUGUAAAAAAAAAUGUAUGAACAAUUAAAAAAAAAAGACAAUGAAAUGAAAAAAAACUAACCCUUUCAUUCAUUCACAUACUAAAAAUCCCCAAUAACCACUUUGCUAUUUACAUAUUGAACAAGCUCCACAACCAAAUGAAUAAUGUUUUAGAAGUUGAAGUGCAACAAAUUUAUAUACAUAUUUUUUACGGGAAAUAUGUAAAAUUGUACAAUGAAUAAUUGAACAAGAAAAACAAAUUUAAUGAAGGAAAUUUUUGGUAGAUUUUUCUUACAGAAAAAAAAUAUUCAAAUUAGAGUUGGGCAUUAACACUGACAUAGUCCCAUCAAAUAAAAAAUCUUAUUUUUUUAAAUUUUUUAUUUAAACAAGAUAAAGUAAAAAAUACUUUUUAAAAGAAAAUCAAAGCUUAUAAUAAAUGUAGUUGUAUCACUUAGUUUGGAUGAGUCAUGUAAUUAAAUUUGUAAUAGAUCUAGACUAACAAUAGUAAGUCUGUGCGAUUAGAAAUAUUUUUACCAACUGUUUUUUGUUUAGCACAAUUUCAUGCAUUCAGCACAAUGUGAAUUUGAGCUCUGGGCUCAAGUCCCCUUAAGGGGACUAAUUCCUAAUUCAAAUUAUACUACCACAUCUGUUGAUUACAAUUUCUUUCCCUUUUUUGAUACCAAACAAAAUAAUAAAUUACCGGUACCAAUAGUUAAUUAAAUUGGUUAAUUUAAAAAAAAAAUGAUUAUUGUUUCUUUCAGGUAUUAGAAAUAAUUGUGCAAAAUUUAAACUUGAUCCAAGAUUGGGUGUGGGAAAAAUAACUUGCACAGACAGACUGAGCUUUGGAAAAAAAUACAUUCUUAUGAAUCGUUAAGUUCAGUUUUACCAGUACUAAUAAUAGACCUAAAACUACUAAUAAAUCAAUUUUCAAAUUCAUUUGCCUAAACAUGUUCACGUUAAAACAGAUGGUAAAAAAAAUAUUUUUUUUCCAAAACAAAAACAAAAUUAAUCUAAUUAACUACUAAUUACUAAUAAGAUUAGUAACAAACUGUAAAAUUUAUCUGCUCAUUUAAUGUUGAUCAACAGAAAUGACAUAUCUUAAAAUUGCAACAGAAAUCAGAUCACCAAUGAAAUGAUCUCCCUGGGAAUCAAGAGAAAUUAUGUCAAAUUUACAUUCUUUUGCAUUACCUUCCCACAUUGGUCAAACAUAUGACCAUAAUGGAUGACUCUGAAACCAGCAUAUGUUGUUGAAAUUAAAAUGGAUUGAUUUUGCUAUGUUUACUUUGCUGUGCUAAAACUGGACAUUCACCUAAAUAAACCUCUAGAUCAGUGGUGAAACCCAGCACAACCUAACCAGUUACAGAGCUAAAUAUUUCUUACAGAGUCUUAGCACUUGUUGCCAUUAACUCUGGUGUAACUGUUUUUCAGUAAUUUCCAAAAUGGCAGCUAAGCCGGUGUACCAGUUUUUUCGGUACUUGACAAUUUGAUGCUAAAAAUGAGUCAGAAUCUAAAAAUAACCAAUCAUAAUGAAACCACAAGUUUAGCUUUGCAAAAUGGCUGCGCCCAUGUGUUUACAUUGAAUUGGUGUGUUUUUACAAGAAAAUUGUCUGAAAGUUGAAAGAUACUGUGAGAGAUCGAUUGAUAAGAAAACAUCUUGAUUUUCAUUAGAUUUAGACAGUUUAUUGGGGCAGGGGGAGGUAGGGUUAACCAUAAAUACACUUUCUCUCUUCUAAAUGUGACCUAAAAUAUUAAAAUGACUCUUAUAAUUUACAAAUAAACUUUAAUAGAAUUAGUCAAUUUUCUAGACAUGUUUGCCCAAGCUUCUAAGUUGCAGCUAAAUUUUAAUUCCUUGAGCCUUUUUUUAAAUGGUUAAAUUAAAAGUAUGUGUUAAUGAUCUUACUAAACAAUAAACCUUAUACUACCACAAAAAUGAAAUACUUAUUAUGCA